UACGGAGGGUGCGAGCGUUAAUCGGAAUAACUGGGCGUAAAGGGCACGCAGGCGGAUUUUUAAGUGAGGUGUGAAAUCCCCGGGCUUAACCUGGGAAUUGCAUUUCAGACUGGGAAUCUAGAGUACUUUAGGGAGGGGUAGAAUUCCACGUGUAGCGGUGAAAUGCGUAGAGAUGUGGAGGAAUACCGAAGGCGAAGGCAGCCCCUUGGGAAGAUACUGACACUGAGAGACGAAAGCUAGGGGAGCGAAUGGG
rnacentral:rRNA from 1 species